rnacentral:rRNA from 1 species
CUCGAAAUAUUUAUUAUAACGUUAAUUUAUAUGUAAAUUUUUGUGAAUUAGUAAUUCUAAAAGGGAUGUUAAUAAAUUUAUUUGCAGUGGAUGAUUUUAUUGAUAUUAAGUUAUUUUAGAUUUAGUAAAUGUUUAAUGGUUUGGUUAAAGUUGUGCCAGCAUCCGCGGUUAUACAGCAAAAUUAAAUAAAUAUUAUUGGUUUUGAAGUAAUUAUCAUUAAUAAUUUAUAUUAAUUAGAGUAUUUUUAGGUGAAGUUUAUAAUGUUUUUAAAAUUUAUAUAGUAUUGGUGAGAAUUUAUUAUGAAAUUGAAAAUUUAAACUAGGAUUAGAUACCCUAUUAUUUUUAUUGUGAAAUUUUAAGCUGGAGUAUUAAUAGUUAUGUUCUUGAAACUUAAAGAAUUUGGCGGUAUUAUAGUCUAUUUAGAGGAAUCUGUUAUGUAAUUGAUAAUCCGCGUUGAACCUUACUUAUAUUUAUUAGUUCUUGUAUAUCACUGUUUAUGAAUAUAUUAGUAGAUAAUAUUCUUUAUAUAAAAUUAAAUAUAAUUUCAAGUCAAGGUGCAGUAAUAUAUAAGAUGAAUAAUGGAUUACAAUAAAUUUUGUUUAUAUGGAUAAUUGGUUGAAAUAUUAAUUUGAAGGUGGAUUUAAUAGUAAUUUUUUGAAGAUUGUUAAAAUGAUUUUAGCUCUAUAGUAUGUACACAUYGCCCGUCACUCUCGUUAAUUAAGAUGAGAUAAGUCGUAACAAAGUAGGUGUAUCGGAAGAUGUAUCUAGAAUGAUGGUAAUUU